rnacentral:rRNA from 1 species
GGUGUUGCAUGGCUGUCGUCAGCUCGUGUCGUGAGAUGUUGGGUUAAGUCCCACAACGAGCGCAACCCUCAUCCUUAGUUACCAUCAGGUAAUGCUGGGGACUUUAAGGAAACUGCCAGUGAUAAACUGGAGGAAGGUGGGGAUGAUGUCAAGUCAUCAUGGCCCUUAUGGAGUGGGCUACACACGUGCUACAAUGGUGGCUACAAUGGGCUGCAAAGUCGCGAGGCUAAGCUAAUCCCUUAAAAGCCAUCUCAGUUCGGAUUGUACUCUGCAACUCGAGUACAUGAAGUUGGAAUCGCUAGUAAUCGUGGAUCAGCAUGCCACGGUGAAUACGUUCUCGGGUCUUGUACACACUGCCCGUCACGCCAUGGGAAUUGGUUUCACUCGAA